rnacentral:rRNA from 1 species
UACGUAGGGGGCUAGCGUUGUCCGGAUUUAUUGGGCGUAAAGAGCGUGUAGGCGGUCAGGUAGGUCCGGUGUGAAAACUCGAGGCUUAACCUCGAGAUGUCAUCGGAAACCAUCUGGCUAGAGUCCGGAAGAGGAAAGUGGAAUUCCUGGUGUAGCGGUGAAAUGCGCAGAUAUCAGGAAGAACACCAAUGGCGAAAGCAGCUUUCUGGGACGGUACUGACGCUGAGACGCGAAAGCGUGGGGAGCGAACAGG